rnacentral:rRNA from 1 species
UGGUGGAGUGAUUUGUCUGGUUAAUUCCGUUAACGAACGAGACCUUAUCCUGCUAAAUAGUGCCGGGGAAUUCUUCUCUAGUCACUUCUUAGAGGGACUUCGGGUGUUUAACUCGAGGAAGCUUGAGGCAAUAACA